CGAUCUGAAAGGAACAUCGAAUUGUUGUUCCACUUAUUGAUGUACUCAUUGGUUGUUUCUUGUAUAUUCCCUGACUAGGGAUGAACCCAAACCUUGGGGUAUCGGGAGGAUGCUCUAACCAACUGAGCUACUCAUCCAGGGCUUGUUGUAUCCUUCUUUUAACUUCUUUCUAAAUUUCAAAUAUUCUACCAUGUAAAUGUAUUAUUUUUAGAACCUUUUGAAAUGAAAGAAAAGUUGAUAAUUAAAGCAGUUCAGAGUAUGCCACCCACAAAUAUACCACUCUGGUAUAAGGCUUAUUUUGAGGUGAAUGCAAUUGAGAGAUAGCAGACACAGGACAACCAACAUAGAUUCCUCCAGGAUGGGCAAAAUGAUUCUUAACCACCAGAGACAACUCUAGACUCUUAUCAGCCCAGAAACUGAACUGGAGGAAUCUAUGCAAAUCUUGCUAAAACAAUCCUUAUCUUCCA